GACGUCGUGGCGCAGUGGUUACCGCGGUGGCCUGCUAUUUCCUAGUCAGCCAUUUCCUUUAGGUUCGCAGGUUCGAAUCCUGCCGACGUCG
rfam:Serendipita vermifera MAFF 305830 unplaced genomic scaffold scaffold_20, whole genome shotgun sequence.